UACGUAGGCAGCAAGCGUUGUUCGGAGUUACUGGGCGUAAAGGGUGUGUAGGCGGUUGUUUAAGUUUGGUGUGAAAUCUCCCGGCUCAACUGGGAGGGUGCGCCGAAUACUGAAUGACUAGAGUGCGGGAGAGGAAAGUGGAAUUCCUGGCGUAGCGGUGAAAUGCGUAGAUAUCAGGAGGAACACCGGUGGUGUAGACGGCUUUCUGGACCGUAACUGACGCUGAGACACGAAAGCGUGGGUAGCAAACAGG
rnacentral:rRNA from 1 species